CCAAUAGCGUAUAUUAAAGUUGUUGCAGUUAAAAAGCUCGUAGUUGAACUUCGGGGUCUACCCAUUGGUCAGGCUUAAUUGUCUGCACUGGUGAGAUGGAUCUCUACCUUCUGAGGAACUUUCAUGCCAUUUAUUUGGUGUGGUUGGAAAUCAGGACUGUUACUUUGAAAAAAUUAGAGUGUUUAAGGCAGACUAUCGUCUGAAUACAUUAGCAUGGAAUAAUGAAAUAGGACGGACUGAUUCUAUUUCGUUGGUUUCUAGGAUCACCGUAAUGAUUAAUAGGGAUAGUUGGGGGCAUUAGUAUUCAAUUGUCAGAGGUGAAAUUCUUUGAUUUAUUGAAGACUAACUACUGCGAAAGCAUUUGCCAAGGAUAUUUUCAUUAAUCAGUGAACGAAAGUUAGGGGAUCGAAGACGAUCAGAUACCGUCGUAGUCUUAACCAUAAACUAUGCCGACUAGGGAUCGGACGAUGUUAAUUUUUUAAUGACUCGUUCGGCGCCUUACG
rnacentral:misc_RNA from 1 species